rnacentral:rRNA from 1 species
CCGCGAAUCGCCCUUCGGGGUGCCCAGGCGCGAAAACUUUGCAAUGCGGGAAACCGUGACAAGGGAACUCUGAGUGCCCGUAAAAUCGGGCUGUCCAUCGGUUUAAAUAACCGGUGAAGAAAGGGCCGGGCAAGACCGGUGCCAGCCGCCGCGGUAAUACCGGCGGCUCGAGUGGUGGCCACUAUUACUGGGCUUAAAGCGUUCGUAGCUGGUCUGUUAAGUCUCUGGGGAAAUCUUCCGGCUUAACCGGAAGGCGUCUCAGGGAUACUGGCAGACUAGGGACCGGGAGAGGUGAGAGGUACUCCAGGGGUAGGAGUGAAAUCCUGUAAUCCUUGGGGGACCACCUGUGGCGAAGGCGUCUCACCAGAACGGCUCCGACAGUGAGGGACGAAAGCUGGGGGAGCAAACCGGAUUAGAUACCCGGGUAGUCCCAGCUGUAAACGAUGCGCGUUAGGUGUAUCGGUGACCACGAGUCACCGAGGUGCCGAAGAGAAAUCGUGAAACGUGCCGCCUGGGAAGUACGGUCGCAAGGCUGAAACUUAAAGGAAUUGGCGGGGGAGCAC